UGGCUCAGAACGAACGCUGGCGGCAGGCCUAACACAUGCAAGUCGAGCGCCCAGCAAUGGGAGCGGCGCACGGGUGAGUAACACGUGGGAACGUGCCCUAUGGUUCGGAAUAACUCAGGGAAACUUGAGCUAAUACCGGAUAAGCCCUACGGGGGAAAGAUUUAUCGCCAUUGGAGCGGCCCGCGUUGGAUUAGCUAGUUGGUGGGGUAAAAGCCUACCAGGGCAACGAUCCAUAGCUGGUUUGAGAGAACGACCAGCCACACUGGGACUGAGACACGGGAAAGACUCCUACG
rnacentral:rRNA from 1 species